rnacentral:rRNA from 1 species
AUUGAACGCUGGCGGCAUGCCUUACACAUGCAAGUCGAACGGCAGCGGACCUUCGGGUGCCGGCGAGUGGCGAACGGGUGAGUAAAGUAUCGGAACGUACCUUUCAGUGGGGGAGUAACUGUCCGAAAGGACAGCUAAUACCGCAUAUUCUGUGAGCAGGAAAGCAGGGGAUCGCAAGACCUUGCGCUGAUUGAGCGGCCGAUAUCAGAUUAGCUAGUUGGUGAGGUAAAGGCUCACCAAGGCGACGAUCUGUAGCGGGUCUGAGAGGAUGAUCCGCCACACUGGAACUGAGACACGGUCCAGACUCCUACGGGAGGCAGCAGUGGGGAAUUUUGACAAUGGGGGCGAACCCUGAUCCACGCCAUGCCGCGUGAGUGAAGAAAGGCCGUCGUGUUAGUA